rnacentral:misc_RNA from 1 species
GAUGAAGAACGUAGCGAAAUGCGAUAAGUAAUGUGAAUUGCAGAAUUCAGUGAAUCAUCGAAUCUUUGAACGCACAUUGCGCCCGCCAGUAUUCUGGCGAGCAUGCCUGUUCGAGCGUCAUUUCAACCCUCAGGGCCCUUUUGGACCUGGCGUUGGGGCUCGGCCGCUACCCUGCGGCCGUCCCCGAAAGAUAGUGGCGGUCUCGCUGUAGCCUCCUCUGCGUAGUAGUUACAUCUCGCACUGGAACGCGGCGCGGCCAUGCCGUUAAACACCCCACUUCUCAAGGUUGACCUCGGAUCAGGUAGGAAUACCCGCUGAACUUAAGCAUAUCAAUAAGCGGAGGA